rnacentral:piRNA from 1 species
UGGNGCAGGCUCAUCAGCAGGGUUCUGGGC